rnacentral:misc_RNA from 1 species
GAUGAAGAACGUAGCGAAAUGCGAUAAGUAAUGUAAAUUGCAGAAUUCAGUGAAUCAUCGAAUCUUUGAACGCAUCUUGCGCUCCUUGGUAUUCUGAGGAGCAUGCCUGUUUGAGUGUCAUUAAAUUCUCAACUACACUGACUUUGAAUUGGUGUGGCUUGGAUUUGGGGGGAAAAUUGUUGUGGGCUUUUUGUAUAGUCUGCUCCCCUGAAAUUGAUUAGCGGUACCUUUGUGGAACUGUCUACAGGUGUGAUAAUUAUCUACAUCUUAGACAUCUGCUGGAAUGCUGCUUUCUAAACCUUACUUGUAUUGACAAUCUUGACCUCAAAUCAGGUAGGACUACCCGCUGAACUUAAGCAUAUCAAUAAGCGGAGGA